rnacentral:rRNA from 1 species
GACGAACGCUGGCGGCGUGCUUAACACAUGCAAGUCGAACGGAAAGGCCCUGCUUGCAGGGUGCUCGAGUGGCGAACGGGUGAGUAACACGUGGGUGAUCUGCCCCUUACUUUGGGAUAAGCCUGGGAAACUGGGUCUAAUACUGGAUAGGACCAUGCUGUAGGUGGUGUGGUGGAAAGAUUAGUUUCGGUAAGGGAUGAGCUCGCGGCCUAUCAGCUUGUUGGUGGGGUAAUGGCCUACCAAGGCGUCGACGGGUAGCCGGCCUGAGAGGGUGGACGGCCACAUUGGGACUGAGAUACGGCCCAGACUCCUACGGGAGGCAGCAGUGGGGAAUAUUGCACCAUGGGGGCAAGCCUGAUGCAGCGACGCCGCGUGGGGGAUGACGGCCUUCGGGUUGUAAACUCCUUUCAGCCAUGACGAAGCCCUUGUGGUGACGGUAGUGGUAGAAGAAGCACCGGCUAACUACGUG